CAGAUUGAACGCUGGCGGAAUGCUUUACACAUGCAAGUCGAACGGCAGCACGGGGGCAACCCUGGUGGCGAGUGGCGAACGGGUGAGUAAUACAUCGGAACGUGCCCAGUCGUGGGGGAUAACUACGCGAAAGCGUAGCUAAUACCGCAUACGAACUCUGGUUGAAAGCGGGGGAUCGCAAGACCUCGCGCGAUUGGAGCGGCCGGUGGCAGAUUAGGUAGUUGGUGGGGUAAAGGCUCACCAAGCCGACGAUCUGUAGCUGGUCUGAGAGGACGACCAGCCACACU
rnacentral:rRNA from 1 species